rnacentral:rRNA from 1 species
AUUGAACGCUGGCGGCAUGCCUUACACAUGCAAGUCGAACGGUAACAGGUCUUCGGAUGCUGACGAGUGGCGAACGGGUGAGUAAUACAUCGGAACGUGCCCGAUCGUGGGGGAUAACGGAGCGAAAGCUUUGCUAAUACCGCAUACGAUCUACGGAUGAAAGCAGGGGACCGCAAGGCCUUGCGCGGACGGAGCGGCCGAUGGCAGAUUAGGUAGUUGGUGGGAUAAAAGCUUACCAAGCCGACGAUCUGUAGCUGGUCUGAGAGGACGACCAGCCACACUGGGACUGAGACACGGCCCAGACUCCUACGGGAGGCAGCAGUGGGGAAUUUUGGACAAUGGGCGCAAGCCUGAUCCAGCAAUGCCGCGUGCAGGAUGAAGGCCUUCGGGUUGUAAACUGCUUUUGUACGGAGCGAAAAGGCUCUCUCUAAUACAGAGGGCUCAUGACGGUACCGUAAGAAUAAGCACCGGCUAACUCCGUG